AGGGGUGAAUAAGGCGGAAGCUGAGGGGACAGUCAUAGCCAGGACAGGAAUGUCACCCCCAGCUGGCAGACAGCACUCUGAGCAGCCAGGCCUGGGAUCCUCUGACCUGCCCACUACUUCAGGAGGCCAGUGUGCUCACUGCCACCCCACGGUCUGGGGACCCUGGACUCCAAACUUGUAAGUGCUAGAGUGGGCAGCUGGAGGCCACCUGGGCACUUUAAAACACAGGUACUCGGGAACAAACCUCUGCUGGGGUGGGUGCGGUGAGGGAUGGGGGACCUUGGGUCCCAGGCCCUCUGUGAUUUUCUGAUGAACUUCCUUCUGUGGGAGCGCUGGCUCAGGGAGCUCCUGACCUCUCCUCCUCUACCACUUCCUCCGCCGCCCGCCUCCACCUGCUCCCGGCCUGAUGUCCGCAGGGUCAUGUGUGCAGUAGUCCCACGUCCAGGCUCACUGCGGAGGCAGCCCUCUUCAGACAGGAGGCAGAAGAGAGGGCCCCCGCAAGUUAGCUUUUACUUUAAUAUUAUUAUGUCAUUAUGUAUAUUAUUAUUGUCAUCAACAUCUUUUUAUUCUGCAAAUACUAAUUUCAUAUCCAAUAUGGGCAGGCUCUGUGCAAGGUAAAUUACUAAGUUUUGUUAAGGAAGUCAAACAAAGUCAUGGGUUCUAUAAGAAGACAACUAUUUUAAAAUAUGGCACAAAUGACAUUAUAUAGUUAAGAUAGUAUAAAGACACGACUUGGAACAAGCAAACGUGGGAACAAGGCAAGGAGAACGUGUAGCUUCCUUUCGGAGUGCUCACACUAAUUGCUGAUGAAACAUUUCUGCACUCGGCAGGGAAUCAGUCCACAGCCCCCCUCUGAUUAAAAUGCGACCCAGCUUGGACUCUGAGAGCAAAUGUCCCAGUGCCCCUGGGAAGAAGUGCUGCAAUCCUCUGUUUGCGCUGUUUAUCAUUUCUGAGAAGCAAUGACAUAGCUGCCUCUUGCAGUUUGGUCUAAUUACUUGUCUGAUCUCCCCCAGGGAGAAGCAGCUCUGUUCUCCCUUGGCCUCCAGACAGUGGGGGCCACAGUCUCUCCUGGAGGAGUGGGGCUGGCCAUCGUGGGCAGGGGAGGUAGAGACCCCUUGAAGCUGAUCUGUAUUGUAGGGUGUGGAGUAGGGCUGGGGGUUCCUGGGCCUCUAAUCUUUAAAAUCCAGCAAUAAGGUAGUGUACUGUGAGCCAGGCCCAUCAUUCUCUUUCCUCCCUAAAACCAUCGAUGAGUCUUCCCCUAAGGGCUGGAGGGGAGGGUCCCCUUUCUUUGACUCCCCUUGCAGUUCCUCUGAUGCUGAAGAAUAGGGCUUGCAGGGACUCUGCCUCCUGCAGGGAGCAGCCACUGUUUCCAGGGACCCUCACAGAAGAGGAGCUAAUUUCACACUUUAGGACUCCAUAGAAGCCAGCUUCCUGGCAGUCUGAAGUGUGCUUCUCACACAUCUUCCACCAGCUUGUUCGUCUGCCUAUAUCUGAGGAUCCUUUAAAGCGAUUGAAACAAAAUUAAGGGCAGAAUGAAUCUUUGGUGAUGAAAGUGAGAAUCUGGGAGAGAUGUGAAAACUGGAAGAGAAACAGGAAGUACCUCCAGGAUUCGCCUAAAUAGAUGCUGCGGUUUCCAUCAAACCACAGGCCACCCCAGUAUCUCAGUGGCUUCUAUAGGUUGUCCUGAAAGAGCCAUGAGGCCAGACACCAAUUCCACCCUCCACCUUUCUGUGUCCGUCCCAGACCAAGGCAGCCCAGGUGAGGAGCCAUGGGUAGGAGGUUUCCCAGUGGGUAGAGGUGCCAGACUCAGCAGCUAGAAAUAUAGAAUGCUGGGUUAAAUGUAAAUUUCAGAUCAAUUAUAAUUUUUCGUGUAAGUGUAUCCCAUGCAGCAUUUGAAAUACAAUUUAAUCAAAUUUAACUAGAUGUCCUGCAUGUUGUAGGAAACUCUCUAGGAGGUGUGUCUCCAGGAUAGAGGGCCAGUGGAGAAUGGCAGCCCACACUGUUAUGGGAUGAAGUGUGUCCCCCAAAAUCAACAUGUUGAAGCUCUAACCCCCAGAACCCUGGAAUAAAACUAUAUUUGGGGUUAAGAUCUUU
rnacentral:lncRNA from 1 species